rnacentral:lncRNA from 1 species
GUAGCUAUGGUUUAGAUGGAGUAUGGGUUUUGAAAACAGAUGCCUUUAGGAUGUGAACCUUAGCUUAUUCAUUCAGAUAGUUUUCUCAUCUGUAUACUGAUGAUGUUUGUCGCAUCAUUUAAAAGAAAAAUAUAUCUCUCAAGUUUUUUUCCGAAUGUUUGAUGACAUAAUACUCAAUAUAUGUUAACCCCACCUUUUUUUUUUCUUUCCAAAAUAUAAAAUUAGAAAGCCGAUUUACAAUUAAAACUGCACUGUACUGUAUAAAAAUGAAGUUUUAACUCUCUCCCACUCUGUAUUUUACAGACUUGCACAUUUAUAUUUUUAAAUCAUCAAGAAUGGGAAAAUUUGAUUAACAUGAAGUCUUCAAAUGCCUGCUUCAAACGGGAGACCAGCUGAAGCCAAGAACAGAAACCCUGAAUUGUGUACUGAAUACCAGACAAGCAUUAACACAUUGGCUUCUUUGGUACCAGAAAUAGAUGAAUUUAGAGGAAAGUCUAAAUUUCUGGGCAAUCAAUGCCCCCAAGAAACGAGAGGUUCCCUCUGUUAUAUUCUUGGCACCUUCGCUUUCCAAACAAUGUCGACAGGUCAAUCACUUCUUGAAACAGCAGGGACAAAAAGAAGAUGAGUAUUUUCUACUCUUAUUUACUUCUUUACUGCCAUUACAUAUGAAUUAUGUGGACCAAAAAAACUCUAGGUUAUAUUUUGAAUGAGUACUAAAAUACCAGAAGAAUGAUAUUUUGGGGGGGUGUAAUUAGUCAUAUUGUCCCAAAUGUAAAAAUGUUGAAAAACUAGAAAACAACCUUAUAUUCAGAGAUUAGGAAAGUAUGUUGUAACCUCUUUCUGUGACCUUCAAUAAUGAGAAAAAUGUAAUUAAUAUCUUGGCCACCUUUCUAUUGAUAAUACUACAUGGUGGUAAGUAUCUCAUUGGCUGAGAUAGUGGUUUCUGUUUCCCUUGAAUUGAAUCACUCCUUAGGCCACAAACCUAUGUUCUGCAUAUGCUGUUCUUAAAUUAUUCUCAGUAAUGUCAGCAUUCCAUGUAAUAUAAAGAGUUUGACUUAUAAGAAGGGUCAGAAAAAAUGAAAUAGGUUGGCCAUAAUGUUCUCUCUUAAGCCCUUAAUAAAUAUAAAUUGUGAACAGGUGCUUCA